rnacentral:tRNA from 1 species
UGGGCAGUAGCUCAGUGGUAGAGCUCCCGCAUCGUAUCCAGGAAGACUUGGGUUCGAUUCCCAGCUGUUUAC